GAGGCUUUAGCUUAAUUAAAGUGUUUGAGUUGCAUUCAGAUGAUGGGCAUAGGAUUGUUCAAGUCUU
rnacentral:tRNA from 1 species